rnacentral:rRNA from 1 species
UACGGAGGAGGCAAGCGUUAUCCGGAAUUACUGGGCGUAAAGCGUGCGCAGGCGGUUCGUUAAGACAGAUGUGAAAUCCCCGGGCUUAACCUGGGAACUGCAUUUGUGACUGGCGAGCUAGAGUAUGGCAGAGGGGGGUAGAAUUCCACGUGUAGCAGUGAAAUGCGUAGAGAUGUGGAGGAAUACCGAUGGCGAAGGCAGCCCCCUGGGCCAAUACUGACGCUCAUGCACGAAAGCGUGGGGAGCAAACAGG